AGAAAUGGCAUGGUAAACCCCACCCGGAGCAAGACCAAAUAGAAGAAACAUAUUUUGAAUUUCUUCAAAGUUUCUUGGGUAGGUCGCUAGAAAAAUUUGGUAACAAAUUUUCAAGAUUAAUAACUACAAUCAUAAUUUUUGAUACAAAACCCGGCUUAUUGCUCUCUGACACAA
rnacentral:RNase_P_RNA from 1 species